UACAGAGGUCCCAAGCGUUGUUCGGAUUCAUUGGGCGUAAAGGGUGUGUAGGUGGCGCCGUAAGUCGGGUGUGAAAUCUCGGGCUUAACUCCGAAACUGCAUUCGAUACUGCGUGCUUGAGGACUGGAGAGGAGACUGGAAUUCAUGGUGUAGCAGUGAAAUGCGUAGAGAUCCAAUGACGGAGACCGUAGGCGAAGCGGGCUCUGGACAGUUCUGACAGCUGAAGCACACGGAAGGCCAAGGGGCAGGCAAACACGGGAUUGAGAAACCCCA
rnacentral:rRNA from 1 species